rnacentral:sRNA from 1 species
AUUGCACUUCAUCUGCAGAAGCUGGCUUUUUUA